UGUCAUUAAUCAAGAUAAUCAAGGGCUAACCUGUUUAUCUGCAUAUUAAACUGGAGUAGAAAAUGGCAUUAUCAGCUGUAGAGAAAGCGCAAAUCGUUGCGGAUUAUGGUCGCGAAGAA
rfam:Osedax symbiont Rs2 5222_138, whole genome shotgun sequence.